UGCAUAAGCAUUUUGAGAUUAUCUGUGCGAUGAGCUGAACGAAGCGAGACCCUGUAGGUCCGCUCGUGUGGAGAUUGGAGGAGAACACAAGGCAGUCCUCAUGGAAACGGCGUACCAUCAAGAUUUUCCCUGGUGGUAUGGCCAGUUUCCUCUCCCAGAAGAGACUCGCGGUUUUUAUGGGUUUGCCCAUAAGAAUGAAGAAGGCAACGUACGGUUCUUUGUACCAACGAGCGUACCUACAGGGUCUCGCUUCGUGCCGCUCAUCGCGCAGAUAAUCUCAAAAUGCUUAUGCA